UACAGAGGGCUCAAGCGUUGUUCGGAUUCAUUGGGCGUAAAGGGCGCGUAGGCGGCUUUAUAAGUCGGGGGUGAAAGCCUGUGGCUCAACCACAGAAUUGCCUUCGAUACUGUAGAGCUUGAGACCGGAAGAGGUUAGUGGAACUGCGAGUGUAGAGGUGAAAUUCGUAGAUAUUCGCAAGAACACCAGUGGCGAAGGCGGCUGACUGGUCCGGUUCUGACGCUGAGGCGCGAAAGCGUGGGGAGCAAACAGG
rnacentral:rRNA from 1 species